UUGCUUCCAAUUGCUUCUACGGUGUGCUGGUGACGGGAGGGGAACAACCACCAUCUCUCUAUAUGUUUACCCAUUUACCAGGAAAUAUGUUUAUACUGUUUUCCAAUCAGGAUUUACCACAAGCCGGGAGUUCCACACCUAAUGACCAGGCCAAACCCAGCCCACUGUCAACAGAGAAAAGUCGGCCUCAAACAUGAGAGAUUUUAAAUCACAAUGGACGUUCGAGGAGCAUGACUGCCAGCACUGUGAGCAGCAGGGCUGUCUCCAGCCGUCGACAGGGAUGCCGGCUUCAUCUUCCACAGCCCGCAGGCAGUUCCAGGCACCCCUUCUUGCUGGCAAAAUGGAAAAUAGAAAACCAUCUUGGACAACCAGCUACAGCGCGUACCAACAAAUAAAAAGAAGACAUUCUGGAGUUCCCGCUGUGACACGGGGGGUUAGGACCCUGAUUACAGAUGCCUGGGUUGCUGUGGAGGCAUGGGUUGAAUUGCCGGCCCAGGGCAGUGGCUUAAAGGAUCUGUCACUGCCACAGGCGCAGCGUAGAUCACAGCUGUGGCUCAGAUUCAAUCCCUGGCUUGGGAACGUCCAUAGGCCACAGGUGUGGCCACCAAAAAAAAAAAAAAAAAAAAAAAGCUGCCCAAGAAUCCCCAAGAUCCCCAUUGCAGAACUGUUCAGGCCAUACACUGUUCUGGUGAAGAGUACAGCCUGGAGUCAGGGCGCCUGGAUGUGAACCCUGGUUCUGAUACUUAGCUGUAGAUGUUGGGCAAGUUACUUAGCUUUUUAGCGCUCCAGUUUCUUCAUCAGUAACGUAGGAAUAGUAACAGUACCCACCUGAUACAGUUGUCAUGCAUCACUUCUUCUCUCCAAGUUUAAAAAUACCUUUCAAAAGAAACAAGGAGGAAAUUAACUUGCUAAGAUUAUAUACCUUGUAGCAGUUAAAAAAAAAAAAUCCCCAGAGAAGUUAAAUCAUCCAAAAUGAGGUUGGGAGAGGGAAGACGUGGAGGGGAAGACACUGAUGAAAAAUUCUGGCUCCCAGUCCUUCAGAAGAGGGUGAACUGUUGAGGGAACAGCACUGUGAGGAGGAAACUAGCAAAACACAGAGGAGGAAAGACCAUUAUGAAAGAAUAUUCAAAGUACUUUUAGGAAAUUCUCUGGAGGGAAGUAGGAAGGCAAGCGUCCUAUCUCAUGGUGAGGCAGAAAGAGAACUGGAGAGCAAUCAGAGAAUGGAGUUUUAUUUCUAAAUCUGACACUGGUAUCACCUUGGUCAACUGACCGCACCUGCCUCAGCCUCAUUUUCCUUAAAAUUAUCUCCAUGCACUCUACUCUCUUCAGCUCUCAUAAUCUUUGAUUCUAGCAAUCAGUACUCCAGUUCAGGAGAUCUGAUACUCACGGGUCCUUCCAUGAAGACACAUGAAAGUCUAUAGCAGGCAAAGCCCCUCCAUCAAUGAGGCAAAUCAAGGGAAUCCUAGAAGGCUGGUUGUGGAAUUGGGUUCUGAGGGCUCUGCUCUCUAGGGAACAAUUUGGCUUAGUUGUCUCUUUCAAAGUCAUGGAAUCACAGGAUUGCCCAAACUGGAAAGUACCCUGCACCCUCAUUCUGCAGGUUCAGAAAAGUCAAAUGACCUGGCCAAGGUCAUCCAGCAGAAUAUGGCAGAGCCAGGACUAGAGCUUGCCCACUGCCUCUGCUGUCUGUAAAUGCAGGGGCUCAAGGGCUAGAACACAGCAAGUGUGCCCUUACAUAUGACUUUUAAUUGAACAGUGUCUUGGACACAAGCAGGGCUGGGGCUAGGGUAAGGUAAACGGGGCACUGGUGUCAGGAGCAAAAUUAAAGGCGGAGCAUAAAAAAACUCAGCAUUAAAACACAGUAUCUUUAAUGCACUACUAAAAAUUAAAAAUCCAUGAACAAAAUACACAAUAUAACAUUUUCAAAUAAAGACAGAAAUGGGGAGUUUCUGUCGUGGCUC
rnacentral:lncRNA from 1 species